rnacentral:lncRNA from 1 species
UUCCCUGUGGAACUGCUCUUAAUUAAACUUCGUUAAUAAUUAAGCAAUAAUGUUUACCAAAACUGGCAAUGGGGUUAAUAAGAUAGAGGAUAUCAUCAGCGUGGAUUGGAGAGCAAGUUGGAUCUCCACGUACAAAUGCACGUGUAAUAGUAUGAACUAACGAUAAGAUUGAUUUUUCAUAAAUUUUUGUGUUAUAACACAAAUUAGAUUAAUAGCAUCACGCGACGUUAUUAACAUAAAACUUCUCCUUCUUGUUACCAUUUUCUGCUUAAGCAUCUGGUACAUGUAUUAAUAUUGCACCACUACUCUCAUUCAAUUAUAUUCUAUAAUUCUAUAACAAGACUAUUAGAGAAACUUACAUCUAACGAGUUUACCGUCAUAUGACAUUAUGAUCUAAUGCAUUGUUAUGUAUAAGUUAUAUUCAAGGGACACUUUGGAUGCGGUCCCUAGCUAUCAAUAUUCUUUGAUUGAAACAUUGUUAGUUUUUAGUUUUUGAUUGAGGUCUUUGACAUUAAUGUAAUAAUGUAAGUUACUAUAUUUUUUUAAUUAAUAAUUAAAAAUUGAAAUUUGUAAUUGUUUAUAUUAAUGAGAUUUUAAAUAAAACCCAUAAUUUAUGGGAUUAAAAAUAAUAAAAUAUAAAUUAUACUCUCUAUUAUAUUGUGUGUGUGUGUGUGUGUGUAUAUACAUAUAUGUAUGGGUACAUUAACCAAAAUUAACAAAAAAAGUUAUUGUACCAAAAC